UACGGGAGGCAGCAGUGGGGAAUAUUGCACAAUGGGCGCAAGCCUGAUGCAGCCAUGCCGCGUGUAUGAAGAAGGCCUUCGGGUUGUAAAGUACUUUCAGUCGUGAGGAAGGUGUUAAGGUUAAUAACCUUAGCAAUUGACGUUAGCGACAGAAGAAGCACCGGCUAACUCCGUGCCAGCAGCCGCGGUAAUACGGAGGGUGCGAGCGUUAAUCGGAAUUACUGGGCGUAAAGGGCACGCAGGCGGUUAAUUAAGUUGGAUGUGAAAUCCCCGGGCUUAACCUGGGAAUGGCAUUCAAGCUGGUUAGCUAGAGUCUUGUAGAGGGGGUAGAAUUCCAUGUGUAGCGGUGAAAUGCGUAGAGAUGUGGAGGAAUACCGGUGGCGAAGGCGGCCCCUGGACAAAGGCUGACGCUCAUGUGCGAAAGCGUGGGGAGCGAAACAGGGAUUAGAUACC
rnacentral:rRNA from 1 species